rnacentral:lncRNA from 1 species
CUGAUCUGGAAGAAGAACCGUCAGGAAAGAGUUGUCUGAAUGCUGAGUUGCGCCCAAAGUUAAGUCAGGCUGUGGACAGGGUGGGUAGUAAUGGUUAAGCAUAAGCAAACCCUUUGAGCAAUCCAUCUCAUUCAGAUGGUUAGGUUCUAACCCUAGAGCUUCUGAUAACAUCUCAAAGAGAAACUCUCCCAAAUUCAUCACAUGCUUUGUGUAUUCCAACAUAACAUCCCUGAAACACUUUCCAUUAUGUGAAUAGAGCUAGAUAACAUAUCAAACAAGGCUGAGUUGGAGAUUUAUGUGGUCAUAACAUUUUCGAGUUAAUCUUAUUGAACUUUUUUGAUAAUUUUGGAGAUCAUGCAACCUAUGUAUAAUAUAGCUUUUCAAAAUUUGGAAACCAAACUGAAUGUUUCAUUCAUCUGAUGUGCCGAGGACCGUGUUGGAGUUAAAAGUUUCAGAACGGAAAUAUGAAAAAGAUUUAAAUAAUAUAUAAAAGAUUUUAGUCAUUUCACUUAAUCCUCAAUUGAUUUUAACUUGAAAACCAAACAAACUUAACUUGGAAUCAUAGCGGACGUACACUGAUUUGAACUACUGCACUUAACGCCAAUUAGUUUUAAUUUAGAAGUCCAAAAAACUUAAUAAACAGGUUUAAGCAACGGAGUCAUCAUCAUACCUACAAAUCUCUGGCAAGUCCUCUGGUUUUGGAGGAUCUGGAGCUAUGGUACAAGAGAAAGUGUCUAUCCAGUUAGCAGCUGGAGAGCUGAAGAGAUUGAAAUUACUUGAAUACCGAAACGUUCUACUGAAAUCUCUCCCGUAGUAUUGUUUCCUCACUUCUGGUGGCUGCUCAUGAAACCCACGAACUCCAUCUUUCAUCCUCUCGAGAAGAUCGAGAGGAACUCCAUGGUUAAUCACCUGGAAGAAACCCCACUUCUCUGACGCCUCUUUAAUCCCUUGAACCACGUUCUUGCGCUUAGUCUCGUCCUCGAAGACUCGUCCUCCGAGAUCAAACGUUGGGAUCGUUGUGAGAUGUUGCGAGUUAGAGGAAAGUGGUUUAGGGUUUGAUAGUUUGAGAGAUGAGUGGUGGAAUAUGCGUGGAACCUCUGAGACUCCGGCUUCUACGAGUCCUUUUACACCUGUCUUGGUCUCGUCGAAGGUUUUAAGCUCACUGACACGAUCAUAUGAAGCAAGCUUCGUCGUCUCCAUGUUUUUUUUUUCUUUUUCUGUUUAUCAAAUAACAGAAGAAUCUGAUAAUAAACGUAACCCACAAAGAAAGAAAGAAACUGUCUUCAUGGGGUUUGGAGAUGAGACAAGUGGUUACAGCAAAACCAUAGAUCGGAGAUAAGGUUUGUAAGAAGGAAGAAGACAACGGCUUGGGACUGUACCCCCUGGGCCACUGGCUUUGACACUGUCAUUUUAAACAAUAUAUACUUGUUCUUGUUCCGCGUCAGAUUCAUCAUAAAUAAUGUUCAAAGCACUCAGAAGCAGAACUUUACAAAUAUUUUUCUGAACAAGUAAUGGUGAACAAUAACCUAACAAAAUUCGUUGAGAUUAUUUGUGUUUAAUACUCUGUUUCACAGAGAUACAUUUUUCUAGUGUUCUCGCACAUAUUAAAAAAUAUAUUAAAUUAUUAUAAUAAAUUUUCAUUUUCUAUAUUUUUUAUUUUUCAAUAAUUUUUAAUUAAUAUUAAUUCAAUAAAGUCAAUUAACUUUUUGAAGAUCAUAAUUUUUUCAUAGAAAAUAUAAAACCUUGUCUUUGUGAAACAGAUUUUAUUUUCUAAAAUAUCUAACUUAACGAAACGGAGGGAGUAAUAUAUUCUGCUUUACAUGAUCUUUCAUUCCACUAACAUAAAUCAAAAAUCCGAACCAAAAUUCUGAGCCAAAAUGGUGAACCGAAAUAACCAAACUUAUUUUCUAAAAUUUUAACCAAUUUAGCCGAAUUCAUAAGUCUAGGUUAAGUUCAGUGAAUUUUUUUGAAAUUGAAAUAACUGAAAACGGUUCAAUUCGGCCAAACCAAACUAUUCGAGUUCCAAACAAACCGACCCGGAAAAAAUCCGAACGUGCAUGCCUAUCAUGACUCAUGAGCCGUGAAUAUACUUUUUUCAGCUUUAUCGGAACUUGAUAAGAUUCUUAGGAGUGAAGCAUAAAUAAAGAUGCUUAUGAACCUCUUGGGAAUUCUUUUAUUACAUAUAGUUUCAUGUCGCUUAUGUUUUGAGAUAGCUGCAGCUCACUAUGUUCAUAUUUUAAAAUGGAGCAAAGCAGAGGUUCCGUCUAGACCUUUGGCAUUGACGUGAGCAGAGUAGUCUCUAAUGGUGAUCUCUCUGUACCUUGGAGGGUUUUCUUCAGACACAAGCUCUCUAAUGGGUCCGUACAACCUAGGAUUCGGUCUUACACCAGUGGUGAAGAAACACGCAACCGAGACUCGACCUCUGGUGGCUCUAUUUGCUAAUACACGAUGCUCCAAACUAAUGAACUUGUCGUUUGUUAUAAGCUGCAUCACACCACCAAAAAUAAAAUACAACCUUUGAACAAAGAGGAAGAACAUUCUAUACGAUGCAAAACAGAGAAAAAGGCAGUGAUUAUGCAAACUAACUUGUAGAAGAUCUCCGAUGUUGAUAAUGAGUGCACCGGGAACAUGAGGAACAUCGUACCAGUGCCCUUCACGGUUGAUUUGAAGCCCUUCAAUUUCAUCUGGAAGAAGAACCGUAAGGAAAGAGUUGUCUGAAUGCUGAGUUGCGCCUAAAGUUAAGUCAGGCUGUGGACAGGGUGGGUAGUAAUGGUUAAGCAUAAGCAAACCCUUUGAGCAAUCCAUCUCAUUCAGAUGGUUAGGUUCUAACCCUAGAGCUUCUGAUAACAUCUCAAAAAGAAACUCUCCCAAAUUCACCACAUGCUUUGU